rnacentral:rRNA from 1 species
UACAGAGGUCUCAAGCGUUGUUCGGAUUCAUUGGGCGUAAAGGGUGCGUAGGCGGCGCGGAAAGUUGGGUGUGAAAUCCCUCGGCUCAACCGAGGAACUGCGCCCAAUACUACCGUGCUUGAGGGAGAUAGAGGUGAGCGGAACUUAGGGUGGAGCGGUGAAAUGCGUUGAUAUCCUAAGGAACACCGGUGGCGAAAGCGGCUCACUGGAUCUCUUCUGACGCUGAGGCACGAAAGCUAGGGUAGCGAACGGG